AUCUUCACGGUGACGCCGCGCCCGGUCUUAAAUCCCGCUUCUUCCAGCCAGUCGCCCUUAAGAUGCAGGCUGGGGAUUUGUGAGUAAUAGGUGGUCAUGUGGGUUUUGCUGUUGAUGUGGCGGACGCUG
rfam:Salmonella enterica subsp. enterica serovar Dublin str. CT_02021853, complete genome.